GGUAGAGCUCAGUGGUAGAACACUUGCCUAGCAUGCAUGAGGCCUUGGGUUCAAUCUCCAGUACUA
rnacentral:tRNA from 1 species